rnacentral:rRNA from 1 species
CAGUCGACGGCAGCACGGGAGCAAUCCUGGUGGCGAGUGGCGAACGGGUGAGUAAUAUAUCGGAACGUGCCCAGUCGUGGGGGAUAACGUAGAGAAAUUUACGCUAAUACCGCAUACGAUCUAAGGAUGAAAGCGGGGGACCGUAAGGCCUCGCGCGAUUGGAGCGGCUGAUAUCAGAUUAGGUUGUUGGUGAGGUAAAAGCUCACCAAGCCGACGAUCUGUAGCUGGUUUGAGAGAACGACCAGCCACACUGGGACUGAGACACGGCCCAGACUCCUACGGGAGGCAGCAGUGGGGAAUUUUGGACAAUGGGCGAAAGCCUGAUCCAGCAAUGCCGCGUGCAGGAAGAAGGCCUUCGGGUUGUAAACUGCUUUUGUACGGAACGAAAAGGUCUGCCCUAAUACGGCGGGCCCAUGACGGUACCGUAAGAAUAAGCACCGGCUAACUACGUGCCAGCAGCCGCGGUAAUACGUAGGGUGCGAGCGUUAAUCGGAAUUACUGGGCGUAAAGCGUGCGCAGGCGGUGAUGUAAGACAGUUGUGAAAUCCCCGGGCUCAACCUGGGAAUUGCGAUGGAGACUGCAAGGCUAGAAUCUGGCAGAGGGGGGUAGAAUUCCACGUGUAGCAGUGAAAUGCGUAGAGAUGUGGAGGAACACCGAUGGCGAAGGCAGCCCCCUGGGUCAAGAUUGACGCUCAUGCACG